UAACAAAAAAAAUUCUAAACGCAUUUCGAUGACCUCCAAAUUGAGAACAAUCCUUUCUUUUAACAUCAACUCCAAAAGUAAGUUCUCAACUGCAAAUACAAACAUGAAGAAAGUAAGUUUAUAUAUAUAAUUUAAAGUCUAUAUAAUCUGAACGCUAUAAAAUAAACUGAGUAUCCACAAUAAUUAUAAGAGCACACAUUUUAAAUCCAUAUUCCAUAGAGCUGAGGGAUAGUUGGUGCAUGUAUAACAUAUACUAGAAAUAUCAUUGUAAAAGGUCUGAAAUCUGAUUACUGAUCCUUAAUUCUAUUUAGGAAAUUAAGUAUUCUUGAAAAUAUGUGGCUAUAGUUCUUAAGAUUUAUGAUUCUCUAACAUGAUUUCGACUAAAUUUGGUUCGAUUUGGACUUGAGAUUUUGAAACGUCAGGAUUUAUUGAAAGGGAAAUGAUCGACUCCGGUCGUCAUCUUAAUUUCCAUGUCAAGUGACAGUUGUACUUGUUUUGAAGAAGAAAUGAGAAACACCAUUGCUUAUGGUCAUGUUUUCAUUCCUACAUGGGUGCUGAUUUUUCCAUGCUUGUUCUUCCUACAUGGUCAUGAUUUUGAAGGGAAAUGAAUUUGAUGAAGGGAUGAGUGAUUUUUAAAUGAAACAAAUAAACUCGGUUGGUUUCGCCCCCAAAAUCGAGACUAUUUUGCUUCCCGAUCUUGUGCAUUAAUAUUAUCUUGUUCUAGCUUUAAAACAUUAUUUAAUGUUAAAAUAGCUAAAAAUAUAGAAUAAAUUUUUUUUAUUUCUUUUCACUCAUUCCCUGAAUCGCAACCUUUACAAUUCUUCUUUAUAUUAGAAUAACAUCUAUUCUCAUUUCAGAAUAAACAUUCUUUAUCAAUUCAAUAUUUCAAACUAUAUAUAAAUGCCAAUCAUAUUUGACAAAACUAUUAAUCAUAGAUUUAUACCAUUUCUAAUUUAAGAAAAUAUAUUCAUUUUGCACAUCGUUCAAUCUUCAUCAUCAGUGUAUAGCAAGUAAUAUUGCCUAACAUCAUUAACCUGCAAAAAGAUUGUGUUUGCAAGAUUGAGCUUGACAGCCCAACAAAUUUAACAGUCUAUCAUGUUUCACAUAACACACAAUUCCAUAUGCACUACAUUUCCUUUACUAUGCAUAUCCGCAUGCAACAUAUAUUCUUUACUAUGCAUAUCCUACAUGCAUCAAUAAUUCCUUACAAAGAAUACAUUCAUGCAUUAUACAUUUCUAAUUUAUCGAAUUACAUCAUACAAUAUGUGCUAUCACAUAUCACAUAUAAAUUGAGCUCCAUAACCCAAUUAACUUGGUCAUAUUUUCACUUUAACAAUUCAUAAAGCAUGGUAUGUAACUCACCACAUAAUCACAUUUAAUCCACAAACAUAAUAGAACUGAAAAACUUGCCUUUGAUAUUCAACGCUUUCGGUUUUCUAUGAGUUCGCAAACUCGAAAGAUUAACUCCUUGAGAAAACCUAUAUAUAUGACAUAUAUAAGGUUAUCACAUAGCUUAAUAUUUUCAAAUUCUAUGAAUUUGAUGAAUAUUAACUUAAACUUGUAUUUUUCAACUUAAAUAACUCAUUUUUAACUUCACUCAAUUUAUUAGAUUUAUUAAUAAUAUUAUAGGUAAAUUAUAUAUAAUAUUUUAAUUUUUUAUAAUUUACUUUCAUUGCGUCACCAAUCAAGUUAAAACGAGAUCCAAUGCCAACGCGUCGCAGCGCAGCUGAGCUGGCAGCCACUGCGUGCAUAUGCUGCUAGCCGCUGCUUGCUACUCUGUAGAUGCGCAGCAGUCCAGUCACCAACUAGCCUACUUCAUGAUUUUCUAGUUCAAAAUCCAUACAUCCAAUUGGUACCAAACUUUAACAUGUAAAACCUGGUACUACAUACUACUUUACAAAAAUAAAAACCAACCAAAAAGGACACUUUAAACUGCUUUUAUAAGGGCAUGAAAUUGCCCAGUUGAAAUAUUUUCUAACCGAGACAAUCUUGCUUAUUUUUCUUAAUUUCACUUUUAAACUCAAUUUAAUCCAUCUAAGCCUCUUGGUCUACAUCAUAUAAUAUAAAUACAUACCAUCUAGUUUACAACAUGGAAUAGUUUUCCAUUUUAGGCUUGACAGCCCCUGUUCAUAACAUGCGCGGCAGCACAGCACAGUGCAGCGCACACUACUGCUGUUGCUGCUGCAACUCAUCCGCACAACAUGGUCAAACUGCCUACUUUUCCAAAUAAUAACUUUCGAAUUGCAAGUCCGAACGAAACAAAAUUUUAAUAUGUUACUCUUGACAUGGCAUACUAUUUAAAAAAAAAUAUUACCCAAACAAAACAGACCUUAUAGAUCCAUUUUACACAGCCUUGAAAAUGGCAUGUCGGUCAGUUUUUCAACCAUGCUUUAAUUUCAUUUUUUGUUUCAAAACAGUUUCAAUAAUUUAUCUUGCCCAAUCUACUGCAAUUAUCUUAAUAUACAUGCGUAUAGCCCUUCUUAAUAAUCACUCUACUCAAUUCCUUCAUUUUAAGCUAUACAGUUCUAUGACACGCACAACACUUUUAAAAACAGAGCUCACCUUAUUUUCUUGAUAAAGUUUCAACUUCAAUUCCUUUGUGGACAAUAAAUAAUAUUAUAUUUCUUACCUCAGUUGCUAAUUGCUGAAACUAACUCCCAAUUCAGUUUUAUAGCUUCUAUAAUAAUUUAUAGUUUCGUUCCCGUAUGCAUUAAAUACUAUCGCGUUUCAACAUGACACCAAAACAGCCCCUUGCUUGGCUUUAACAAUCCCAAGCUUAGCUUUCAUCCUCUAUAUUACAAAUUCAAUUACAUUGAAUUUGAAUAUGUUAUAAAUUUGAUAUGAAGGAAUUUGGAGUUAAGCAGAAAGGAAUAAGAAAGAGGAAACUGUUGGUGACAAAGCUACCCUUUUUAUUCAAUUCAUUCAGGCUAUAUGUAUAGCCAUACAUGGAAGAGAAAAAUAACAACAAAGCUGAAAAGAAGGAAAUGCGAAGGAAAUGCUGCAGAAUAGGCAACAGAAUAGCACCCACUCUACUACCUAAGACUUAUUCAAUAACUGACUCAACAAUUAAUGACUGAACAAUCAAACUAGACCAAGUCUUCCAUCUUGCCACCAGGUCCACUAUCACUUUCCAUCUUGUUGCCACUACUGGCACGUGUAUGCACAUAUCAUUCCCCACCGCUUAAGGAUCCUUGUCCACAAAGAUGAAAUCAAGAUAUGACUUGGUGAAACGCCAUUCAUUCUCCCAGGUGGCAUCUUCUGCUAGUACACUGACCCACUUCACCAAUAUUUCAGAUUUUGGGCGGUAUUUACCCUUGUGGAUCACUCGUCGAUCUAAAACGGCUUCAAGUUGUGGAAGGACAGUCGAAGUAUCUGAAACAGGGGGAAGUUGGGUGGACGUUGCAGUGACUAGUCCCAAAUGCUUCUUUAACAAACUGACAUGAAACACAUCAUGAAUUUGAGAACCAAGAGGCAAAGCCAGUUUAUAAGCCACCGGACCAACUUUCGCAGUGACUUUAUAAGGACCAAAGAAACGUGGGGCGAGCUUCAUGGAGGAACGAAAAGCCACAGAAGUCUGUCUAUAUGGUUGGAGUUUCAAAUACACAUAAUCUCCCACAAGGAAAGAGGCCUCGCGCCGGUGUUGGUCAGCUUGACAUUUCAUCCGGUUUUGAGCCAGCAGAAGGUUAUGUCGCAGCUCACGUAGGAUAGCAUCUCGGUCACGCAGGUACUCAUCAAACUGCUUGGACGUGGGAAGUACCUGGUACAUAAGCUAAUAGACGUGGAGGCGGAAUUCCAUAAACAGCUUCGAAGGGUGUCAUCUUAGUGGAGGAGUGAGUUGAAGUGUUGUAGCUGAACUCAGCCCAGGGAAUCCAUUCGAGCCACUUCCGUGGCUGGUCACCUGCAAAACAUCGUAAAUAUUGCUCCAAAGUUCGAUUGACAACUUCGGUUUGGCCGUCUGAUUGGGGAUGGUAACUUGAGCUCAUACACAACUUGGUUCCCUGCAGCUGGAACAAUGCUCGCAAAAAGGAGCUGAUAAACACCUUGUCCCGAUCACUGACAAUUGAUGUCGGAAUACCGUGCAGACGAACCACGUUGGCAACAAAUGCCUUGGCAACAAUUAUAGCAGUAAACGGGUGUUUCAAGGCGACGAAGUGAGCAUAUUUGGUCAAGCGGUCGACAACUACCAUGAUGGAAGUAUACCCAUUAGAAGAUGGUAACCCCUCAAUAAAGUCCAUUGAGACAUCAGUCCACAUUUGAGUGUGGACAGGUAGCGGCUGAAGCAACCCCGCCGGCUUCAUACAAUUAGUUUUGAACCGCUGACAGAUAUCACAUUGCUGCAAAAAAUCCUUCACCAUCCGGCGCAUAUUAGACCAAAAAAAACUCUUUUGAUACUAGAGAGGGUUUUAUGGAACCCAAAGUGCCCACCUAUUGGCGACGAAUGGCAGUCAGCCAUUAUCUUUGAAAUCAAGGAUGAGUUGGGCCUCAAAUACACUUUGUUUUCCUUGAACCAUACUCCAUCACGGAGCAACGUGUGGGAAGUUGGAGAGGUUUUUUUUUUUUAACAAGUCUUCAUAAAAUGAGUCCUGUUGGACUUCCUUUUGAAGCACUGGCCACCAAUUUGCACGUGGUUGGGAAAUGGAUAAAAAUUGGAAUUCAACUACACGUGACAAAGAAUCUGCACCUUGAUUUUCAGGCCCACGUUUAUACUCAAUUUCAUAAUCAUAACCAAGUAGUUUUGGCAGCCAUCGUGUUUGUGCUGGUGUAGUAAUCCGUUGCUCCAAUAGGUCCUUGAGACUUUUUUGGUCAGUGCGGACUGUAAAUGGUUUCCCAAGAAAGUAUGGACGCCAUAACUUGAUUGCUUUGACAAUAACUAACAUUUCUUUCUCAUAGGUGGACAAUGAUAAGGCCGAACCCUUCAGUGCUUGGCUAAAAUACGCCACUGGUCGAUUUUCUUGGGUAAGAAUUGCACCAAGUCCGAUUCCGCUGGCAUCGCAUUCAAUCACGAAUCGUUGAGUAAAAUCGGGAAGGCGUAAAAUUGGUGGUGACGUCAAGGCCUCUUUUAAUUGUGUGAAGGCCAUCUCUGCUGCCUCAUUCCAUUGAAAUCCAUCCUUGCUCAAGAGACGGGUCAGGGGAGCUGCUAUACUACUGAAAUGACGGAUAAAUUUCUGAUAGUAGCCUGCUAGACCGAGGAACCCACGGACCCCUUUUGCUGUGUUGGGGUUGGCCACUCAAUGACAGCUUGUAUUUUGGCAGGAUCAACCGCUACGCCUUGCUCCGAAAUAAUGUAGCCCAAGUACUCCACCUGUAAAACACCGAAUUGACAUUUCGACUCUUUUGCAAACAAACUGUUAGUUGAUAGGAUUUGGAGAACAAUUUGUAGAUAUUAGAAUGUCAUCGAAGAAAACCAAAAUAAAUUUCCGAAGAUAGGAACGGAAGAGAUCAUUCAUGAGACUUUGGAAGAUUGUUGGUGCAUUAGUGAGGCCAAAUGGCAUCACUAUAAAUUCGUAAUGGCCUUCGUGUGUCCGGAACACUGUUUUAGGAAUGUCAUAUUCGUGCACCCGUAUCUGAUGAUACCCAGACCGUAAAUCCAAUUUAGAGUAAAAUUUGGCUCCAUGGAGUUCAUCUAAUAGCUCAUCGAUAAUAGGAAUUGGAUAUUUAUCUUUAACUGUGAUGUUGUUCAGAGCCCGAUAGUCCACACAAAAACUGGGGAAGAGAACGGAUUGUUACUUGGCCGUAUCAAACCAGAUUGCAAAAGCUCUUUUACCAUCUUCUCUAUCUCAGUUUUCUGGUAAUAAGGGUAUCGAUAUGGCCUCACACUCACUGGUCCUGCGCUCGGCUGCAAUGGGAUCUGGUGGUCAUGUGACCGCCUUGGAGGCAAUUUGGUGGGUGAUUCAAAUACAUGGGAGAAUUUUGCUAGUAGUUGGCCUAUCUCAGGUGGGUAGGACUUUAGUUGGCUACUGGCGGUGGUGGAAGGAAUUAUUUGGAGAAAUAAUCCAUUGCCUUGUAACCCAUUGGAUUCCUUGUCAGACAAAGCUUCGAUGCUGGUUCGUCUCAAUCCUUGGAAGGUCGGGGGGGUCCCUUCUACUUUGAAGUUCAGGGUGAGCUGCUUGUAGUCCAUCUCGAUGGGUCCGAGAGUUUCAAGCCAUUGUACUCCUAAGACCAAUUGGCAUGUCGCGACGGGAAGAAUGUAGUAGUCGGCAGUGAUGGAACAUCCUUGAAUGGUGAGGGUGAGACCGCGACAUUGUCCAGUACAUUCUAUCUUCUCACGGUUAGCAACCAUGACUUCGAAUUUCUUAAUCCGGAUCACUGGUAACCCAAACUUAGAGAUUAUAGCAUGAUCAAUGAAGUUGUGCGUACUACCACCAUCUAUUAGCACCAUCACAUUCUUGUUUUUCAGCUUGCCUAGGACGCAUAUGGUUUGUGGGUGUCCAGUUCCUGCAAUUGCAUGAAAAGAAAUUUCUGGUAUAACUUCAUGAUGUUCGUGUUCCGAGUGAGCACCUUCGACCUCUUCAGUGUUCAUAUGAGGGAAAUCCUCGAUCAUGAAUAAUUGAGGUCGUUCGCAACGAUGGCCAGCAACGAACUUCUCGUCACAGUAAUAACAUAAUCCCUUCUCUCGUCGUUCGCGUGCCUCUUGAUUGGUGAUUCGGCGGAAUGUUGCUGGUUGAGCAUUCGAGCUCUGGUUCAUACGCUGGGUUGGUGGAGGUCCUAGCACACUAGCUGUGGGGCUGGGUGAGGCCUUUGGUGUCAAUGAGGCUGGUUGGAAACGAGUUUGUUGGUUUGGUUUCCUCUGCAGUUGGUUGCGUUCUUCGAUCAGCCUAGCCACUCCUAUUGUAUCUGCCAAGGUUCGCGGUUGUUUAAUUUUUACAUCUAUGCGAAAUUCAUCUCGAAGUCCUGCAAUAAAAACAACCGAUGAGAAAAUUUCCGAGCAGGCCAUCAACUCGGUGGGAAAGCUUUUCAAAAGCUUCUUAAUAAAGCUGCUACGGAUGUGGUUUGUUUAAGACGAGUCAGAGCUUCUGACGGGUCUUCGUAGUCGGUUAGACCAAAUCGAAAUUGAACAGCCUUGGUGAACUCAUCCCAUGUGAGUGGUCCACGGAAUCUAGUCAACCAUCUAUGCCAUUGCAGGGCGAUGCCUUCUAAAUGGAAGAAGGCCAGUUAAACUUCUUGUUCUGGUGCAAUGUUUUUGAAAUCGAAGUACUGUUCUGCCUUGUAAAUCCAACCAGUUGGGUCGUCACCGUUAAAUUUUGGGAAGGACAGCUUGAGGUGUUGAUGAGGGUGGUCAUUGAUAAUGCUAGGUCGAGAAGUAUGUGAGUGUGAGGAGUCAUCACGUGGGCCAGUGUUUUGGUUAUGGGAGGCUCUAAGAGCUUGGAGCUCGGUUAACACUUCAUGUAAGACUGCAUUCACCUGAUCGAAACUGGUAUCGUGUCGUGCUAAGAUUUCGUUGACAUCGUUGCGAAAUUCUGCAUUCGUUUUGUCGCGAGUGUCCAUGGUCGGACCAAGCUUUGAUACCAAUGAUAUUAAGGAAUUUGGAGUUAAGCAGAAAGGAAUAAGAAAGAGGAAACUGUUGGUGAUAAAGCUACCCUUUUUAUUCAAUUCAUUCAGGCUAUAUGUAUAGCCAUACAUGGAAGAGAAAAAUAACAACAAAGCUGAAAACAAGGAAAUGCGAAGGAAAUGCUGCAGAAUAGGCAACAUAAUAGCACUCACUCUACUACCCAAGACUUAUUCAAUAACUGACUCAACAAUUAAUGACUGAACAAACAAACUAGACCAAGUCUUCCAUCUUGCCACUAGGCCCACUAUCACUUUCCAUCUUGUUGCCACUACUGGCACAUGUAUGCACAUAUCAAGAUUCCAUACACCCGAAUAGAUUUCACAUAUAUAUGUAAACUUGCAUUUACAUAUAACUUUUAUCGCUUCUUUUUAUAUUAAAUGAGUUAACAUUAUAUAGUUAUUAUACUAUAUUUAUACAUUUAUUUCGAUACUUCGUUAUAAACACAAUCGUUAAAAACCAAGCAAAACGCAUCGCGGAACCAAAACAGGCCACAACUAGGCAUAGCCCAAUUGUGGCUGCUGCUACUGCCGCUGUGCUGCUGCUGCUGGGCAGCAGGCCCCAUGGCUUGACGCCAACUUCGCAACCUUUUUAACGCCUAACUCGCUUGUUGGAUGGCGCUCAUUUUUGAACAUGAUAUAAACACCAUAGUAGACUAUUUUUAAAAUAUACAAACCACCCAUUUUGGGUCUUUUAGCCAGCCCAUAACAGGCCUCGAAAAUGCUUCAGCUCAAAAGACUGCAUUCAUCGUGAAGUGAUAAAACAGUCAUAACUUUUUCGUUUCAAAAUAUUUUUGAGCGAUUCUUGAGCCCACGCGAAGCUAACUUCCGGGGCUACAACUUUUAUUCUUUGACCAUUUUCAAAUCCGUAACACAAAAUUCCAGAAAAUUCGUGCAAGGGGCUGCUUCGAAUCCGUUUUCCAUAUUUUUGACAGAUUCGACGCACCCACUUUAGCACGUCAUAACUCGAUCGCCCGAACUCGGAACGAGUCCAUUCCAGAGGCUAUGGCUAGCUGGGAUUGCACACUACUACACCCCAGAAACUUAAAAUUUUCCAACAAGUCUAACGAGCCGAGACAGUAGCCAAAAGUAGCCAGACACACUAACUUUUAAAUUUUUCGUUUUGGCUUAAAAUUGUUUCCUCUUUAAUUUACUUCACCCAAACUCUUUAAUUAUCACCGUAUACAAUAUUUAAACCUAUCCCAAACUUUGGUUUCGUCUAAUUUUUGAUUUGUAAUCAAAACAGUCCAUUGGGGAAUUUUAUUAAAAUCCUCCCAUCAUAGCUAUUUCUUUGUGCUAUAAUCUCAUGUUAGCCUCCUUAUAUCUCCACACAACCAACUUAAACUCCUUUGCUCUAUUUCAGAUCCAUAACAGUCUAUUACACCAUCAAACUUAUACAUAAUCAAGUAAUUAGUAAACUAACUAGUUUACUCAUUCUUCAAAAUUUGAAUUCCUGAUUCUCAUAUAUUCAAUAUGCAAUAAUAUAAUUUUAUACAUGAUUUAAUUACUCAUGAUUCAUAUUCCAGUUAUAGUUAGUUAAAAAUUAGCUAUAUAACCAUAACCAAUUUCAUAUGAACUUGAAUGCAUAACUUACUUGUGCUACGAGGAGUUCUUUAGAUGUUAUCCAUCCUCUUCUUUUUGUUGCUGAUUUUGAUUCUUGACAAUCAGUUUAAAAUUUCCAAUUCUUAGCAAUCUCUUUAUGUCACAGCCAAAACUAAGGAAGCUUGAGCUUGGACAUGUAGCUUGGUAAUUCUUUUAGAGAAAGAAGAUGUAAUGGAACGAAAAUGGAGGACAGGGAAGGUCACUGAAUUGCUAAAGAAAACGAAGGCUGCAGCCUGCAAUUGAUGCUAAGUUUCUUAUUAUACACAGCUUUCCUUUAUCAGUUCCUGGCUUUCUCUUUCUUUUUCUUUCUUACUGUGCUAGAAUCUUUGGAGAAUCAGCUAAGUUGUGGAACCUUGGGUUAUAUAACUGAGUCCUCUCUCUCAGGCAGUCACACUAAGCUUGGCCCCUAAUCUGCUUCAUUAUUAUCCUACACAGCUCUACUUGGUCUAAGUUCAGUCCCCCUUCUUUGAGUUGCCUCCUAAGAGACUACCCUGUUGGCUCCUAUACUGUCUGACACUCUUAUCCCUUGCAGGGUACUUGACCCCUAAACACUAACCUUUGAUUCCUAGCCUCUAACCAACUGCUAAUCUUGUUAACUGAAUUCUAACUUUGUUAACUAACUUCUAACUUCUUGGAACCAGUUACGCUAUCUACUAAAUAAGAAGACUUAGCUUAUUUCACCCAACGUGGGCUACUGAAUUUGGAUAUUAAGAGAGAGUGGAUAUAGCUUUAUUUUGGGCUUAGUACAACUACCCUGAACACUUGAGAAGUUAAAAUGCUUGCACACAAACAUAAAAAUUAAGUUGGCCCAAUAUUUAAA
rnacentral:lncRNA from 1 species